rnacentral:rRNA from 1 species
UACGAAGGUCCCAAGCGUUAUCCGGAUUUAUUGGGUUUAAAGGGUGCGUAGGCGGGUUAUUAAGUCAGUGGUGAAAGCUCCCAGCUCAACUGGGAAACUGCCAUUGAUACUGAUAGUCUUGAGUAUGAUUGAAGUGGGCGGAAUGUGUCAUGUAGCGGUGAAAUGCUUAGAUAUGACACAGAACACCGAUUGCGAAAGGCCAGCUCACCUAAGACCACU